AGUGAACGCUGGCGGUAUGCCUAACACAUGCAAGUCGAACGGCAGCACAGUAAGAGCUUGCUCUUACGGGUGGCGAGUGGCGGACGGGUGAGGAAUACAUCGGAAUCUACUUUUUCGUGGGGGAUAACGUAGGGAAACUUACGCUAAUACCGCAUACGACCUACGUGUGAAAGCAGGGGAUCUUCUGACCUUGCGCGAUUGAAUGAGCCGAUGUCGGAUUAGCUAGUUGGCUGGGUAAAGGCCCACCAAGGCGACGAUCCGUAGCUGGUCUGAGAGGAUGAUCAGCCACACUGGAACUGAGACACGGUCCAGACUGCUACGGGAGGAAGCAGUGGAGAAUAUUGGACAAUGGGAGCAAGGCUGAUUCAGCCAUGCCGCGUGGGUGAAGCAAGCCAUCGGGUUGGAGAGCCCUUUUGUUGGGAGAGAUAAGCAGCAGGUUACUGCCACGAUGUUGAGACGGUCCCCAAAGAAUACGCACCGGCUAACUUCG
rnacentral:rRNA from 1 species